CGGGCAGAUAGCACGCCAUGCCGAUGCCCUGAAUCGACGGCUGAUAUUUGUGGUGAAAAAUUAUUAAAAGUGAAAGAAUAAAUCUCAACAUCGCGAACGAACAAAACAUUUUUUAGUGAACAGGCCAGUGCAAAUCAGCCAACAGAAAGAUUAGACCUGGAACAAUUUGAUCAAUGCGACGCAUCAAGAGGCCCCACGCCAACGAGUCUCGGGGGCAGUGGGGAGAAACGGUUCUUCCUAUUCGGAAGAGGUGACGCGCGCGGUGAUAAUUUUGCCGUUCGCGAGGAGAUAUAGCGAAGACCUCUGCGUCGACGAGAGGCGUCUAUCACUUACAUUCCACUCUCUUCCAGAGGGUGUGUGGGGAGGCAACAACAAUCCGUGGUUCCAGUAGAAUGUCCGUGGGUUUGCGAGUGUUUUUCCGUGAAGUAACUGUGUGAUAAACGCACCUGAGUUGUUAUAGAAGAACCCCUAACAACUGUAUUGCAGUAUGAUGGACAGAAUUCUACGUAAACGACCAAGAUGGCAAGAUUUUCAUCGAUCACCCUAGAUCGGAUCGGAAGAUCCUUCCGUUCAUUUACUUUUGGUCGACUGAACAGGACAUUGCUCGCCAGUUGAAGCAGAAAAUGGGUUUCCCAAGGGUGGGAAGCCGAAAAAAGCACCAUUUUGAUGCCACUGGACGCGAAUCCAGACAGGCGAGAAGCAGUAAAAGGUUUGGCCCUUAUUUUGAUUGAAAGCACAUGCAAACGGCGCUGUAAGGUGAUCUUCGAAACAUUCAUCGUCGAAUUUGAGUUACUGUAUAUGAGAUUUGUCCAUCGUUUUCCGCCUACUUCACGAAACGCACACCAAACAAUGGGCCAAAACAAAGCCGACCAAUCGUUAAGGCACAAACAGUAACCUUCUUAGCCACCACCUCUGCCAGAGACGCAACGACAAGGAUCACUGACCCGAGCACGAUGAAGAACUGCCGAUUGGUGAGCUGCUGAAGCUGAACGAAGAAGCGAAACGGAAGGUAAAAGUAGAUUGCCAGAUUUUAUGCAACCCAUCACCAAAGGACGAAGUAACAGCAGCAGCGGCUGCUCGAACCAGCGUAGCACGCACUAAAGGAAAUUAAAAGAGAAAUAACUUCCAUCGUCCAUGGUUUACCUUGAGGCAUAGAAACGAACUCGCAUCAUUCAUUCAAGCGAACUAAGAACUGCGAUAGAAGAUAGAAAGAAAGGACCCUUCGCAAGGUUCUGUUGAGAUGGUUCUAGCAAAGGACACAGCAAGGUAUGAUGAUUGUAGGCGUACUGCUUACAUACUUACUAAUCAGGCUGCAACCGACGAGUGGUCUUGGCCUGCCACAAAAUGUUCCUAACUCGAGGAGGAUUUAGCUGUAGGGAUGAGCAAGAAUUUCACCCAUUAUCAGGGUGCAUAAUGAGAUUAGCAGAUCGAAGAAUGUUUUGGAAGGACGCCACGUAACCAGAUCUUCUGUAAGCAGCGAGCAGAGUACGGACGGCGUCGGUUUUUAUCCUUGCAAGCCGGUUCCUCGUCCUUUCAUGACAUAGGUUCUUUGCACGAUGACUCUGAACCUGUCGGUGAACAAGAGACAGUAAAAUUGAGCCAUUCGGACGAACUUUUGGUAAAAAACCAAUACAUACACCUUAACCGAUUUAAAUAAUUUAAGCGGUUAUCCAUUUCAAAAUUUUGCCGUUGGAUAACCGAUAGAAUGAGCCGGAAACAGAAAAACAUGUGGAAAGCGGAGGAGGGGUAGGGAGGGAGCGAGCACAUACCUAGCAUAUCGCUUGUACCUCCCACGUCCCUUCCAGAUAGAUAAAAAGAUGAUUUAGACAUAGUAAUUGUCCCAAAAAUAUACACAAGGUGUCAG